AUUGAACGCUGGCGGCAGGCCUAACACAUGCAAGUCGAGCGGAUGAAGGGAGCUUGCUCCUGGAUUCAGCGGCGGACGGGUGAGUAAUGCCUAGGAAUAUGCCUGGUAGUGGGGGAUAACGUCCGGAAACGGGCGCUAAUACUGCAUACGUCCUGAGGGAGAAAGUGGGGGAUCUUCGGACCUCACGCUAUCAGAUGAGCCUAGGGGGGAUUAGCUAGUUGGUGGGGUAAAGGCCUACCAAGGCGACGAUCCGUAACUGGUCUGAGAGGAUGAUCAGUCACACUGGAACUGAGACACGGUCCAGGCUCCUACGGGAGGCAGCAGUGGGGAAUAUUGGACAAUGGGCGAAAGCCUGAUCCAGCCAUGCCGCGUGUGUGAAGAAGGUCUUCGGAUUGUAAAGCACUUUAAGUUGGGAGGAAGGGCAGUAAGUUAAUACCUUGCUGUUUUGACGUUACCAACAGAAUAAGCACCGGCUAACUUCGUG
rnacentral:rRNA from 1 species